UGCCUACGGGGGGCAGCAGUGAGGAAUAUUGGUCAAUGGGCGCGAGCCUGAACCAGCCAAGUCGCGUGAGGGAGGACGGCCCUACGGGUUGUAAACCUCUUUUGCCGGGGAGCAACGGGCGUCACGUGUGGCGCCACUGAGAGUACCCGGAGAAAAAGCAUCGGCUAACUCCGUGCCAGCAGCCGCGGUAAUACGUAGGUGGCAAGCGUUGUCCGGAUUUACUGGGUGUAAAGGGCGUGCAGCCGGGCUGACAAGUCAGAUGUGAAAUCCCGCGGCUCAACCGCGGAACUGCAUUUGAAACUGUC
rnacentral:rRNA from 1 species